rnacentral:lncRNA from 1 species
ACUCCGGAACCACUCACCUGUAGGAGGAACCAACAACUGUUCCUGGUAGCUGCAGUUUGUAGUUCCCCACUUGAGGAAAGAAGCUACCAGACCAACUUUGCUCUACUGACCAGAGACUCUACUAGUACUAAAGGAAUCAUCCACGUAUUAAAGAAGCGACCAGUCUUUUUCACUUAUACCAUACCUCGUUAUGCUUGGCCUGGGCUCAUGAUUUGCUUUUGCUCGAGUUCAUCAACUACAAGACAAG